CAUUGUGAUGGCCCUAAAGAAAAUAAAAUGGAUAUAGGAUACCAAGAGUUAAGCAGAAGUAAGCCAAGAUUCUGACCUAGCUACCCAUGCAAAGCAGCAAUGGACAGCUUCAUCUGCUUAAGGCUCCCUGUUUUUGCUUCUAGAAUUGAAGACUACAUCGUGUUCCUGAGAUUACACAAGAAUGAAGUGAGAAGUUGCAAGACAAGGGUUUGACUAGAGAUGUUUGGUCUUUGGAGAACUGCCGUCUGUCCUUCCUGAAGCCUUCCCUGAUCCUCCAAGAGUUUCCAGUUUACUGAGUACCUGCUUUUGUUCCCUCUUGGGAUCACAUUUCUCCUCCACGCUGUCUCUGCAGUGAAGCUAUUGCUAGUUACACUGUGCAAGCAAGACAUUUGGGACCUCUGGAAACCAAGUAAGUUGUCUGAAGUCAAAGCCCAGAGUUAUAGAUGCAGUGUUCAAAUUCAGGCUCAUCCGAUGCCAUGCCGAGGUGCAGGCUCUGUCCUCUGGGACAGUAGCUGUCCGCCUCCC